CAGGAACUUGAACCGCCGGCG
rnacentral:siRNA from 1 species